GCUUCAGGAGACUCAGAGCGAGCUGGAAUUGUUUGUCGGUUCGCUUGUCAUUUGUUUAUUCGUUUCUUUGCUCUUUCCCAGCAGUUGCUUCUGCCACCAAAGCCUUGAGCCUCAGCCUGAAGCGACUUUGCAUGGGAAACACUAUCCCAGUUCAGUGUGGGCGGCUCCGCGGCUGGAACAAUACUGUUUUUUUGUAGAGCAGAGGAGGUUCCACACCUGCAGAAGCAACUGGCAAUUACAGGGGCUGCUCCCCAGGCUGAUUGCAAAAGACUGAAUCGGAGAGUUGAGAACAGAGAGCCCGAAGGGAGCAUCUGCAGAGAUUUCACUUUGAUGUGGACAAGAACUCCCCAAAAAGGGGGCAGCCAGCUUGGAGGUCAUUGAGGCGAAUCUGGAUGGGGAUACCUGGUCAGGUAUCAGCUGGACUGAAUGGCUACUGAGACUCCUCACAACGGAUAUUUCAAAAGUCCCAGCUCCGUGACUCACAGGUUGACCCAAAGAAGAGCAGAGAGGCUUCCGGCAGCCAGGAGAAGGAUGCCUUGGGAACCAAGAGUGACUGGCGCUGAGGGCCAGGUGGGAGGGGGAUCCCCUGGGAUACCAGGAUCAAGCUCCGGGGGAAGCAGGGCUGCCAAGCUGUCCAGAGGAUUCCUAUGGCCACACGUGGACCUGGCUUUAAAAUGAAAUGUGUC